UAAAUCCUCAAUUAUUGGCAGUUUGGUUCUAACUUUCCAGAUGAUUCAGUACCUUCUAUUACAUUGGGGCCAUUAUUUAAGGACUACUUGUGGUGAUACACUAUAUUUGCAGACUGAGUAGUUAAUCACUGUGUUCUUAUGUUAAUAAAGCAGGUUAAAGAAAGAAAAAAGAGCAGAAAGGGAAAAGAAAAUAAUAGAGAAGUCAAACAAAGAGCUGUUGAGAGAGUCAAGUUGCCAGGUCAGAUUAGGAGUGGAGCUGGUGGUGAGCUCCCCACAGGAGGUUCCCAGCAGGAGGGAGCGCUUUGGGGAACAAUCAAAGCCCAGAGAUAUUGUGUGCAGCUUCCUUCAGAGAGAGCAAUGAACUCUUAAAACGUCACAAGCUCUGCUCUAGUCCCGUUGGCUCUUUCCAUGAAAAGGUUUCUGCAGACAGGCUCCUGUUUCACUCCUUAUACACACACACACACACACACACACACACACACACACACACACACAAUCUUUACAAACUCUGCCAGUAUACAAUCCCUUUCCAAAUGUCAGCAUUUCCCAGGGGUCAGCACUCACCAAUCUCGUCUGCGCUGUACUCCAUUGGGCUCAGAUUUUCCUACUUGACCACUCUUGGAUCAAACUGUGAUGAGAGGGACUUCAUAGACUUCACUUGUCCCUGGUUUGUAACAUGGUCAUGAUUGUUGGGACCCUGGACAGCACCAGUCACUUUUCACUCUCCGAGGCUAGAACAAAAGGAACUGGGGACCUGAAGAAGAGGCCAAGCACAGACUUCUUUCAAGCUGGGGUCAAGGCCUCUGCUCUCAGAGGAAGCGUGUCAACAUCUCUUCCCCCGGUUGCCCCUCACAUCAUGGCAACCACUCACAACACAUGUUUAUCUGGAGAGCCCCGGUCAGCAACAUGCUCAGACAAGCUGAACAGAAGUCUCUGCUGUGUGCAGGAGAAUGGAGUUUUUGGCGUGCCCUGUGGCCCUGAAAACAACAAUUGUUUUGCUAGGAAAAUAUGCUAGGUUUUGCUUUACCUUCAAAGCUUUGUUCCCACAAGUGUUCAGAAAUAGAGACUCAACCACUCCUGACUUAACUGCCUUUUCUCCCUUGUUUAUGAAGAAAUUCAGAGAGAAUAGGACACUCCUCGUGUGCCAAGUGAGAACAAAUCUAUCACUCACUCUUCGCCUGACUUCUUUCAAUUUGAUAGGGAAGUCUGAAUCAAAGGGAAGACAUCCAUAGUAAUAAUGAAGAAACCAAGAGUCAAGUAGCAGAGGAUGAUUAAAUCACAUGUUUUAACCGUUCCUUCUGCGCUGCAACACUCCCCGGAGCAUCCUCGUAAUUGUGCUACAGCACCAUUUAUUAUUUACAAUUGCCUUAUUUUCUUCUGAGAUCAGGCUUUGUUUAAAAGUCCAUUCAAGACUGGAUGUACUUCAACUAAGGGUCACUUGAAGCUUCCAUGUAAUCCACCAUGUGUCAACUGUCAUUAUGUUACAAGCCCCCAAACCAGCACAAAAAGGAAACAUAUUCACCUAAAUUCGAAGAAGCUGGAAUGUCUCUUAACAGAACCUUUAUAUCCACAAGGACACGUCAAAGAGAAAGAAACGACAGUCCCGUAGUUUACUCUGCUGUCUGAAACUUCUGAGUCAGCUUUAUGGAGAAGACAAAUCCCAGAGUCCUUUGUGGCCCAGACUCAGAGAAGUAGCACCUCAAAGAGUCACCAAAAUGAGCAGUAAUUCCAGUCUUUUUGCAUGAAAUGCUGAGACUGGAAGAGCUCACCUGUAUACAGAUGUCACCCUCCAGUUUCCAGAAAAACAAUUCUUGCAGCUGCUGCGGUCAGACAGCCCUUGACGCAGGUGUAUGUGAUAGCUAUUUCAAAACUCUGUUAGCUAAGCUUGGAAGAGUCAUUAUGAUGUCUCCAUGCUCUCUCCUCCCCUGCCAUUCUUAUGAUGGUAGUCCUAAGAUCAAAGCAGCUGAGGCCACUGAGUCACUACAAAGAGGACAUCUGCAUUAGGAAAUCAGUGGACCUUGAAUCACCAGACUUUGUGCAGGAAAUAAAUUUCUGUUGUGAGAAGCCA